GGGGAUUUAGCUCAGCGGCAUAAGCGCCUGCCUUGCAAGCAGGCGGUCAUGAGUUCGAUCCCUGGUACCCA
rnacentral:tRNA from 1 species